rnacentral:lncRNA from 1 species
UUAUGCUUGUUGAGAUUAAUCUAAAGAUUUCUCAGAAUAACUUCAAAUUUUGACUCUUCUUCAUACAUAUAAAUAACAAAUAUCUUUGUACUCAAUUUUCCACCUCUAGUACUAAUGUUCUGAUAUUUUAUUUUGAUAACAAAGAAAGUAUAAUGCCAAAGAUAUAGGUCGUUCAUCUUUGGCAGUCUAGUUUCAAUAUUAUAUGAGCAUACACUUCUCUCUAUAU